UGGUUUGGUUUGGUUAUUUGUUUUUGUUUUUUUUUUCCACCCCUCCCCCCCAACCUUCUGUGCAGGUGCAAUCGGCGUAGGCGUUCCCUCUGGGAAGAUUCUUUGGCUUCAAGUUGGAGACAGACCCGGAGUCCUCAGGUCUGUCCGCCGCUCAGGAAUCCUUGUCAUUUGAGGAUGUAACUAUGGGCUUCACCCAGGAGGAAUGGCAGCAUCUGGACCCUGCUCAGAGGACCCUACACAGAGAUGUGAUGCUAGAGAAUGACAGCCCCAUCAUCUCAGUAGGAUAUUGCAUCCCUAAACCAGAAGUGAUCUUCAAAUUGGAACAAGGAGAGCAGCCAUGGAUAUUAGAGGAAGAGCUCCCAGGCCAGAAAUACCCAGGUAAGUUAGCAUGUAUUAAGCAGAAAGGAUACCAGUGACAUGGUAUCAAUUCUUCUAAUUCUCAAGAGUUUUCUUGGCCAGGCAUGGUGGCUUAUGCCUGUAAUCCUAAUACUUUGGGAGACUGAGGAGGGUGGAUCACCUGAGGU